rnacentral:lncRNA from 1 species
UUUCAUUUUCGUUUUCCGCGUGUGAACGGCGGAAAACGAAAAUGCCGAGCGCGGAGCCAAAAUUGCGGCUCAUGGGGCGGUGCUUUUUCAUGGGGUCCACGAGACCACUUCGGCCACAUGAGAGGGAGGUCCACGAUGGACCUUCCUCUUUAUAUAUAUAUAGAGUUGAGCUAGAAUACUUUCGAUAGCAAGCCGGUAUUUUUGCCACCCAUUUGUUUUCGAUGAUGGAGCCUUCAAAUUGAUAAUCGACACCGUUGAAUAUGAUCUAUACCAUUUAAAGUAUUUAGAAAUCAAAUUUCAUAUAUUUUCGAUAUUGUUCUCUUAUCCAUCGAGUAGACACAAAAAUGAACGGCUGAAAAUGAAUAUUCUUAAAAAAAUGAUGAUAGGAGUCUUGUAAUCAAGAUCAAGAGUAUAGAUCUUGUUUUAAAUAGUUUAAAGAAUUUUCUAACAAAAAUUCAAUUGAUUUGGAUAUCUUUACGCCGUUAAACGAGAAAACGCCUCAUAUCAACCAUUAAAAUUACAAAUUUUGAAACCCUUUGAUCAUUAGGCAAAUGAUGUCGAAAAGAUUUGAAAUUUGAUUUCUAAACACUUCAAGUGGUAUAGAUCAUGUUCAACGGUGCCGAUCGUCGAUUUGGAGGCUCCAUCAUCGAAAACAAAUGGGUGGCAACGGAGCCCGUUUGCUAUCGAUAGUAUUCUAGCUCAACUCUAUAUAUAUAUAUAUAUAUAUAUAUAUAUAUAUAGCUAGUCUCCUAUACUAUCUAUAGUA